UACGUAGGGUGCAAGCGUUGUCCGGAAUUAUUGGGCGUAAAGAGCUCGUAGGCGGUUUGUUGCGUCGGCUGUGAAAUCCCGAGGCUCAACCUCGGGUCUGCAGUCGAUACGAGCAGACUAGAGUGUUGCAGGGGAUACUGGAAUUCCUGGUGUAGCGGUGAAAUGCGCAGAUAUCAGGAGGAACACCGGUGGCGAAGGCGGGUAUCUGGGCAACAACUGACGCUGAAGAGCGAAAGCGUGGGGAGCGAACAGG
rnacentral:rRNA from 1 species